UAAAUCUUAGUUUAAUUAAAAAUUAUUCAUUUACAUUGAAUAGAUAUAGUAAAAAAAUUUAUAGAUUUGA
rnacentral:tRNA from 1 species